GUGUUUUGAUUUGUAGUAUUAUUUUUUAUAUAUAUUUUUAUGUAUAUAUAUGUAAUAUUUUUUGUAUAUAUAUUUCUGGUCUAGCUAGUGUAUAUAAAUACAUAAUUAAUCAAUGGCGUUCUCGAUCUAUACUUAGCAAGGCCGGCCGGAGAGAUCAGGAAGAUCGACGUGGGAUGAUGUGUGGCCCGCGCGCUCGAUCUGGCCGUGGCCCGCGGCAGCAGCGUUGGAGGAGGGCCGCGGCGGCGCUGGUGGAGAGUCGCGGCGGCGCUGGUGGAGACGGUGGUCGCGGCGGCGAGGGAGUCGAGAACGAAACGACGGCGGCGAAGACGAUGAACCCGGCGGCGCUGGAACGAAGACGAAGACGAAAGAACUACCGGAUCCAGGACGCCUGUGGCUUAUAUAGGG
rnacentral:lncRNA from 1 species